rnacentral:tRNA from 1 species
GAAUUAGCUCAGCUGGGAGAGCGCCUGCUUUGCACGCAGGAGGUCAGCGGUUCGAUCCCGCUAUUC